rnacentral:rRNA from 1 species
GACGAACCGUGCGAAUGUUGUUCGGAAUCACUGGGCUUAAAGGGCGCGUAGGCGGGCUGUCAAGUCUGGGGUGAAAUGCCGCGGCUCAACCGUGGAACUGCCUUAGAUACUGACGACCUCGAGGAAGGUAGGGGCAUGCGGAACUGUAGGUGGAGCGGUGAAAUGCGUUGAUAUCUACAGGAACUCCGGUGGCGAAAGCGGCGUGCUGGACCUUUUCGUGACGCUGAGGCGCGAAAGCUAGGGGAGCAAACGGG